rnacentral:rRNA from 1 species
ACGAACGCUGGCGGCGUGCUUAGCACAUGCCAGUCGAACGGUGAAGCGCCUUCCUUUUUGGUGGGUGUGGAUGAGUGGCGAACGGGUGAGUAACACGUGAGUAACCUGCCCCCUUUUUCUGGAUAACCGCAUGAAAGUGUGGCUAAUACGGGAUAUUCUGGGUCUGUCGCAUGAUGGGUCUGGGAAAGAUAUUGUUUCGGUGGGGGAUGGGCUCGCGGCCUAUCAGCUUGUUGGUGGGGUGAUGGCCUACCAAGGCGGUGACGGGUAGCCGGCCUGAGAGGGUGGACGGUCACACUGGGACUGAGACACGGCCCAGACUCCUACGGGAGGCAGCAGUGGGGAAUAUUGCACAAUGGGCGCAAGCCUGAUGCAGCGACGCCGCGUGAGGGAUGGAGGCCUUCGGGUUGUGAACCUCUUUCGCCAGUGAAGCAGGCCUGCCUCGUUUGUGGGUGGGUUGACGGUAGCUGGAGAAGAAGCGCCGGCUAACUACGUG